rnacentral:rRNA from 1 species
GACGAACGCUGGCGGCGUGCCUAAUACAUGCAAGUAGAACGCUGAAGAGAGGAGCUUGCUCUUCUUGGAUGGGUUGCGAACGGGUGAGUAACGCGUAGGUAACCUGCCUUGUAGCGGGGGAUAACUAUUGGAGACGAUAGCUAAUACCGCAUAACAAUGGAUGACACAUGUCAUUUAUUUGAAAGGGGCAAUUGCUCCACUACAAGAUGGACCUGCGUUGUAUUAGCUAGUAGGUGAGGUAAUGGCUCACCUAGGCGACGAUACAUAGCCGACCUGAGAGGGUGAACGGCCACACUGGGACUGAGACACGGCCCAGACUCCUACGGGAGGCAGCAGUAGGGAAUCUUCGGCAAUGGGGGCAACCCUGACCGAGCAACGCCGCGUGAGUGAAGAAGGUUUUCGGAUCGUAAAGCUCUGUUGUAAGUCAAGAACGGGUGUGAGAGUGGAAAGUUCACACUGUGACGGUAGCUUACCAGAAAGGGACGGCUAACUACGUG